GCCGGGCAUGGUGGCUCACGCCUGUAAUCCCAGCAUUUUGGGAGGCUGAGGCGGGUGGAUCACUUGAGGUCAGGAGUUCGAGACCAGCCUGGCCAACAUGGUGAAACCCCGUCUCUA
rnacentral:SRP_RNA from 1 species